AACACACACUAAUGGUUUCUUCUCUCUACUGACCAUGUCAUGUAUUGUGUUAUAUAUAUAUAUAUAUAUACACACACACAUACACACUAUUAAUAUAUAUAUAUAUACCCUCUACUGACCAUGUCAUGUAUUGUAUUAUAUAUAUAUAUAUAUAUAAUUGAAUCUUCUGACAAAACCAGAAACAGUGGGUAAGAUUCCAAAUUUCUGUCUUGCAUUUAGAACACAAAGGAUCGAGAACACAGAGGAGCGAAGAGAAUACAGAGGAGCGAGGAGGACACUGAGGAGCGAGGUGAGGAGCGAGGAAGACACUGAGAAGCGAGGUGAGGAGCGAGGAGGACACUGAGGAGUGAGGUGAGGAGCGAGGAGACACUGAGGAGGACACUGAGGAGUGAGGUGAGGAGCGAGGUGAGGAGCGAGGAGGACACUGAGGAGUGAGGUGAGGAGCGAGGUGAGGAGCGAGGAGGACACUGAGGAGUGAGGUGAGGAGCGAGGAGGACACUGAGGAGUGAGGUGAGGAGCGAGGAGACACUGAGGAGGACACUGAGGAGCGAGGAGGACACUGAGGAGUGAGGUGAGGAGCGAGGAGACACUGAGGAGGACACUGAGGAGCGAGGAGGACACUGAGGAGUGAGGUGAGGAGCGAGGAGGACACUGAGGAGCGAGGAGGACACUGAGGAGUGAGGUGAGGAGCGAGGAGGACACUGAGGAGUGAGGUGAGGAGCGAGGAGGACACUGAGGAGUGAGGUGAGGAGCGAGGAGACACUGAGGAGGACACUGAGGAGCGAGGU
ensembl:lncRNA